rnacentral:lncRNA from 1 species
UCUAUAUACAUAAUCAUAAAUCUGAUUCGAAACAAAUCAUAUUCAUCUCAUCAGCCUUUAGCUACGACCACACUUAUACCCUGUGGCUAGGCCAGAAACCGAACCACACUUAUACCCUGCAGAGUGGGCCAGAAUACCGCACUUAUACCCUGCGGAGUGGGCCAGAAUACCGCACUUAUACCCUGCGGAGUGGGCCAGAAUACCACACCUAUACCCUGUGGUGGGGCCAGAAUUGCCAAUGCAUAACCCCCUAUUGGCAGGGUCCAGAACAUAACCAGGCUGAGAGUUCUAAAUCUGAUGCACAUCAAAAUUCUUUUGUAACAUAAUAGAUAUAUCAUAAUUCGAUCUAAAUAUGCAUAUACGAUACAAAAAUAGUAAUAUAAUAAUAGUCCGAAAAAUAUUAUUCCAAUUCACAUAUCCAUUUUUCAUUCAAAGCAUCAUCUCGUAAAAUUCAUAAAUCACAUAUAAAGUCAUUAACAAUUUAUUCGAUGCAAAAAUAAUAUUAUAUAAAUGAAGAGUCUAGAGAAGGCAGUUCAUUACUUACU